GCUUUACUGUAGCCUGAUAUUGAAAUUCGGCACAGCUUGUACAGGAUAGGUAGGAGCCUUUGAAACGUGAGCGCUAGCUUACGUGGAGGCAUUGGUGGGAUACUACCCUAGCUGUGUUGGCUUUCUAACCCGCACCACUUAUCGUGGUGGGAGACAGUGUCAGGUGGGCAGUUUGACUGGGGCGGUCGCCUCCUAAAAGGUAACGGAGGCGCUCAAAGGUUCCCUCAGAAUGGUUGGAAAUCAUUCAUAGAGU
rnacentral:rRNA from 1 species